rnacentral:rRNA from 1 species
UCCGUAGGUGAACCUGCGGAAGGAUCAUUAACCUUUCAAAUCAGGGUGCGGCGCGGCCCCCGAGGAGCGGAAACAAUCCUUGGGAGGUAUGCGGGGGCUUCGAGCCCCCCAUUUACGCACGCACGACUGCCAUCCUUACUUUACGAGCACCUUCUGUUCUCCCUCGGCGGGGCAACCUGCCGUUGGAACCGAAUAAACUCUUUUUGCAUCUAGCAUUACCUGUUCCGAAACAAACAAUCGUUACAACUUUCAACAAUGGAUCUCUUGGCUCUGGCAUCGAUGAAGAACGCAGCGAAAUGCGAUAAGUAGUGUGAAUUGCAGAAUUCAGUGAAUCAUCGAAUCUUUGAACGCACAUUGCGCCCCUCGGUAUUCCGUGGGGCAUGCCUGUUCGAGCGUCAUCUACACCCUCAAGCUCUGCUUGGUGUUGGGCGUCUGUCCCGCCUCCGCGCGUGGACUCGCCCCAAAUUCAUUGGCAGCGGUCCUUGCCUCCUCUCGCGCAGCACAUUGCGCUUCUCGAGGGGCUACGGCUCGCGUCCAACAAGCACAUUUACCGUCUUUGACCUCGGAUCAGGUAGGGAUACCCGCUGAACUUAAGCAUAUCAAUAAGCGGAGGA